rnacentral:rRNA from 1 species
GAUGAACGCUGGCGGCGUGCCUAAUACAUGCAAGUCGAGCGAACGGACGAGAAGCUUGCUUUUCUGAUGUUAGCGGCGGACGGGUGAGUAACACGUGGAUAACCUACCUAUAAGACUGGGAUAACUUCGGGAAACCGGAGCUAAUACCGGAUAAUAUUUUGAACCGCAUGGUUCAAAAGUGAAAGACGGUCUUGCUGUCACUUAUAGAUGGAUCCGCGCUGCAUUGGCUAGUUGGUAAGGUAACGGCUUACCAAGGCAACGAUGCAUAGCCGACCUGAGAGGGUGAUCGGCCACACUGGAACUGAGACACGGUCCAGACUCCUACGGGAGGCAGCAGUAGGGAAUCUUCGGCAAUGGGCGAAAGCCUGACGGAGCAACGCCGCGUGUGUGAUGAAGGUCUUCGGUUCGUAAAGCUCUGUUAUUAGGGAAGAACAUAUGUGUAAGUAACCGUGCACUUCUUGACGGUACCUAAUCAGAAAGCAACGGCUAACUACGUG